rnacentral:tRNA from 1 species
GCCCGGGUGGCGAAAUUGGUAGACGCACUACUUUCAGGUGGUAGCGUCCGCAAGGAUGUGCUGGUUCGAAUCCAGUCCCGGGCA